rnacentral:lncRNA from 1 species
UGGGCAUACAAAAGGUGGGAGAAGGGACCCUGAGCCAAUGGAUGCAGGUGGCCUCUAGAAGGCAGGAAAGAGAAAGAAACAAAUUCUCCCCUUGAGCUUCCAGAGGGAAUGCCGCCCUGCCAGCAUCUUGAUUUUAGCUCCAUAAAACUCAUUUUAGAGUUCUGACCUCCAGAACAGCUAGAUAAUAUGAUGAUUUACCUGUUGAAGAACUUUGGCCAUUUGACCUGUGAUGUUUCCUAAGUGAGGAUUUUGCUGACUACGUACUUAUGGUGCCGCUCUCCAUUUUCCUCCAUCUUCUGUACGUCCUGCAAAUUGGCAGCUGAGUCCAGCAGCUUGAUCAGACUCAGAUUUCAUUCCUUUGGCAAAAACGGAGCUUGCUUGAUGACAUUUAUUGGCUUGGUUCUCAGCUAUCUGGAUGUUCCCUCUUUUCUUCAUUUCUGUUAUGCCUUUUCUCCUCAAUCUUGAUUUUACUCCAAGCAAUUUCCCCUUUGUACUGGCCAAGCCUGCAGCUUUGUUA